GGAUGACUGCAGCAGUGGAGAACACUGCAUUUUGGCCAGGCUCGGGGCAACAUAUGCUAACUGCAGCAGUAGUAAUAAAUGGGAAUGCACACACUUAAUUUCAGCAAGAUCUCCAGCCUGCAAGAAGAGCUUGUCUAUAGGAAGGGACAGCAGGUGCUGUCAGGGAGGAAGGUUGCAGAGAUGGGAGAUCAUGUAGGAGCAAACGUGUUGGAAGGGCUCCAGAAAAUGCACCAGAGAGCCAAGGCCCAUCCAUGAGCCAUGCUGCCUUGGAAGUGGUCUUCUCACAGUGGUGGAACAUGGAGAGUGCCUGAGAAAGGUGGCAGCACCUUGGUAAAUGGCGAAAGAAAUAGAGAAGCAAAACAGCAACUCUACACAGACAGUGAAGGUAAAGCCCCAUCCACAAACCUACAGCUGCAUGGGAUGUAACAUGGACGCCUGGUCUGGAGUGAUGGAGAUGAGCAGUCAGCUUUCAUUCCUGACAGAGCAAACAGCAAAACAAUGGAUUCUCUCAAUGGGCUACAGGCACAUAUUUCACUAAGACUCCAUAAAACAAGCAGUUUAUGAAUACCCAGCAAAAAAAGUCACAUGGAACAGCAACACAUUUUCUGCAGAAGGUACAAGCUGCUUUCAGUUCACAGAGUUUUGAUGGAAGUGUGGAAGAGGGAGCUCCUCUUCAGUGUCUUCGCUGAAUCUCAUCGAAGGAUUCAUGCCUUCAACAGAACCUACCAUUCCCAAGGUGUGUGGGGAUUGCAACACUGUGCUUGCAUGCACUGUAGUGUUGUAGCCAAGGGCAGUGGCUGACAGCAGAACCAGAUGGGAGAGAGCAGAAGAGGCAUUUCUACCUGUGAAAUGAGUGAAAAGGCCAUAGCUCUUCAAUUAAAUGUAACUUCCCUACGGCAUGAUGAUCAGUGCUGCACUGCCUACAGCACCAACUGAAAUAAGGAAUGAGCUUCCCUUUGCAAGCGGCAAGAAAAUUAAGAAAUGGCUGUUCCCUAUAUCCUGCCCUAUUGGAGUGGUGGUGAAGUGUUAAUGGGUCACAGAGCACAAGGAUGGCUGUGUUGUAGCUCAGAAAGGGAAAGGGGAAACGUGACAAAGUAGUAAAGGCAUCAUCUCUGAAAAUAAUAAAUCAUAGCUAUCGGUGUAUAAAUAAUAAAAGUAAUCAGAACUAUCUGCAAAGCGUCC
ensembl:lncRNA